rnacentral:rRNA from 1 species
UACGUAGGUGGCGAGCGUUGUCCGGAUUUAUUGGGUUUAAAGGGUGCGUAGGCGGCUUAUUAAGUCAGUGGUGAAAGACGGCAGCUUAACUGUCGAGGUGCCAUUGAUACUGAUGAGCUAGAGUACUGAUGAGGUAGGCGGAAUGGACGGUGUAGCGGUGAAAUGCAUAGAUAUCGUCCAGAACACCGAUAGCGAAGGCAGCUUACUAAGGAGUAACUGACGCUGAGGCACGAAAGUGUGGGGAUCAAACAGG